GGAGGAGAGGGGCGCGGGGGAGGGGCGCGCGGCUGACGUCAGCAGAGAGUGCGUUUAAGCAUGUUUGAUGUCAUUGUUGACGUUCCUAGGGAGGAGCUGCUUAGGAUACCCUUCAUCAUGCCAGAAAUUCAGAACGUGACUUCACCUUCAAGACCCUGUCCAGGCUAUGGAGGCAGUGACAGUGGGGUUCUUCGUGGGAACACCGUGAGCACCUCUUCUUUCCCCUGCUCCUUGCAACCUCUUCUGACUCUUCGGUCACUGAAGCUGCAGUUUCAAAUAACCAAAGGAAGCUGUGAGGAUCAUGGCAGAGGAGAUGACAGCAGUUGA
rnacentral:lncRNA from 1 species